rnacentral:rRNA from 1 species
GGUUCGGAACAACCCAGGGAAACUUGGGCUAAUACCGGAUACGCCCUUCGGGGGAAAGAUUCAUUGCCGAAAGAUCGGCCCGCGUCGGAUUAGCUAGUUGGUGGGGUAAUGGCCCACCAAGGCGACGAUCCGUAGCUGGUCUGAGAGGAUGAUCAGCCACACUGGGACUGAGACACGGCCCAGACUCCUACGGGAGGCAGCAGUGGGGAAUAUUGGACAAUGGGCGAAAGCCUGAUCCAGCCAUGCCGCGUGAGUGAAGAAGGCCUUAGGGUUGUAAAGCUCUUUCAGCGGGGAAGAUAAUGACGGUACCCGCAGAAGAAGUCCCGGCUAACUUCGUGCCAGCAGCCGCGGUAAUACGAAGGGGACUAGCGUUGUUCGGAUUUACUGGGCGUAAAGCGCGCGUAGGCGGA